CCUACGGGAGGCUGCAGUGGGGAAUAUUGGGCAAUGGAGGCAACUCUGACCCAGCAAUGCCGCGUGAGUGAUGAAGGUAAUUUUAUUGUAAAGCUCUUUUCUUUGGAACGAAUAAAUGACGGUACCAAAGGAAUAAGCUCCGGCUAACUACGUGCCAGCAGCCGCGGUAAUACGAAGGGGCGAGCGUUUUUCGGGAUGACUAGGGUUAAAGGGUGUGGAGGGGGUUUGAUAAGGUCGGUGUGGAAUAUCCAGGGCUUAACUCGGGUGCUGCAUCUAAAACUGUUAGUCUUGAGUACUGGAGAGGUUAGUGGAAUUCGUGGUGUAGCGGUGGAAUGCUUAGAUAUUAGGAGGAACACCGAUGGCGAAGGCGACUAUCUGGACAGCAACUGACACUGAGGCACGAAAGCGUGGGGAGCAAACAGGAUUAGAUACCCUAGUAGUC
rnacentral:rRNA from 1 species